GUGAUGCUAAUCAUAGAAAAUGGAAACCAGCCCGGAUUACAUAAUGCGAGAAGUGAGAAGAAAUUAGCUGCAGCCAACAAGAUGCCCCAUCGAUACCAAAGAUUCGUGAAACAUGUCAACUGUCAUGAUGCCUGACACUUGCCGCACAACAUUUGUCUCUAUUUCCCUGGCUCCACUGGCCAAUUAUCGUUUAUUUAUACUGUAAUCUGUGGGUCGCGCAGCGUGAAACUGUGAACUGGAUUUCGAAUUGAUAUGCAGAUGCUAUUGCUGGGGAGAAAUUUGACUGAAUUAUUUGAUAAAAAUGCAGUUUCCCCCGAUUGGGCUCACAGCAGGUGCCACGGCAGACUUAUUAGCCUCUCGAAUGUUGCAUAAGGUGCACCUCAACCUGGUGGCCGCCCAGAAAAACCAUCAAAAGCUGCUCCUCCCGAACAUCUAAAGCAGGCCUCGUCAGAACAGAACAGAGAAUCCCUUUUUCAGGCAUCGGAAAAAAUGCUCAAAUGCUGGCUCAAUUCUGUGUAGGAAGCACCUGAAUAUGCUCCUCUUUCCCAAGCCCACCUCCAUUCCCAUCCUCAGCCUGCUGUCGUGUACAGUAGCCGCAAGCACAUGUCAGACAAGGAACUGGAAGCGGGCUACAAGGAACACGAGUUGAGGUCCCCGGCUAAUGGCUUUCUGGCUUCGAAAGUCGCGAGUUUCAGUUGCCAGAUGAGCUGGGAGUCCAACAAUCGAGGCGUAUUCACAUUUUUUGCUUAUGCAAUGAUAAUAAAAACGCAGCAUGCGAGGCGGACUGCGAAAUAUAAAUG
ensembl:ncRNA lncRNA:CR45964 long non-coding RNA:CR45964